rnacentral:sRNA from 1 species
CUCCCUCUGAAUGUUUUCAAUAACUACUUCAGCCUUGGAUUUGAUGCCCAUGUCACACUGGAGUUCCAUGAAUCCAGAGAAGCAAAUCCAGAGAAAUUCAACAGUCGUUUUCGAAAUAAAAUGUUCUAUGCAGGGGCAGCUUUUUCUGACUUCCUACAGAGAAGUUCUAGAGAUCUAUCCAAACAUGUUAAAGUUGUUUGUGAUGGAACAGAUCUCACCCCAAAGAUUCAGGAACUGAAGUUCCAGUGUAUAGUAUUUUUAAAUAUACCCAGAUAUUGUGCUGGCACAAUGCCCUGGGGAAACCCAGGAGAUCACCAUGAUUUCGAACCUCAGCGUCAUGAUGAUGGUUAUAUUGAAGUCAUUGGAUUUACCAUGGCCUCUUUGGCAGCCCUGCAAGUUGGGGGCCAUGGAGAGAGGCUACACCAGUGUCGAGAAGUCAUGCUUCUAACUUACAAAUCCAUCCCCAUGCAAGUGGAUGGGGAGCCCUGUAGGUUGGCCCCAGCUAUGAUUCGGAUCUCCCUGAGGAAUCAGGCCAACAUGGUACAGAAGAGCAAGAGGAGAACAUCCAUGCCUUUACUCAAUGAUCCCCAGUCUGUCCCAGAUCGUCUGAGGAUCCGGGUGAACAAAAUCAGUUUACAAGACUAUGAAGGAUUCCACUAUGACAAGGAGAAACUCCGAGAAGCUUCGAUACCUCUGGGUAUUCUAGUUGUGCGUGGAGACUGUGAUUUGGAGACUUGCCGUAUGUACAUAGACCGCCUACAGGAGGACCAUGAAACCUCCUUCCCCAGGGCUCUCUCAGCACAGAGGCUCUCCCCUCGGUGGUGCUUCCUAGAUGCAACUUCUGCUGAUCGCUUUUAUCGAAUAGACAGAUCUCAGGAACAUUUGCACUUUGUGAUGGAGAUUUCCCAAGAUGAGAUUUUUAUUCUGGACCCAGAUAUGGUGGUGUCACAGCCGGCGGGGACACCUCCGGGCAUGCCUGACCUGGUGGUGGAGCAAGCCUCGGGGAUCUCAGACUGGUGGAAUCCUGCCCUGCGGAAACGCAUGCUGAGUGACAGUGGGCUGGGGAUGAUAGCUCCCUAUUAUGAGGACUCAGAUCUGAAAGAUCUCAGCCACUCCCGCGUGCUACA